UGGGGAUAUUGCUUAGUGGUAGAAU
rnacentral:piRNA from 1 species